GCCAGCAUGGUGUAGUGGUUUGAGUGUUGGACUACAACUCUGGAGAACAAGGUUCAAAUCCCUGUAUUGCCA